AUUGAACGCUGGCGGCAUGCUUUACACAUGCCAGUCGAACGGUAACAGGCCUUCGGGUGCUGACGAGUGGCGAACGGGUGAGUAAUGCAUCGGAACGUACCCAGAGGUGGGGGAUAACGCAGCGAAAGCUGUGCUAAUACCGCAUGUGAUCUGAGGAUGAAAGCGGGGGACCGAGCAGCAAUGUUUGGCCUCGCGCCUUUGGAGCGGCCGAUGUCGGAUUAGCUAGUUGGUGGGGUAAAGGCCUACCAAGGCGACGAUCCGUAGCUGGUCUGAGAGGACGACCAGCCACACUGGGACUGAGACACGGCCCAGACUCCUACGGGGGGCAGCAGUGGGGAAUUUUGGACAAUGGGCGCAAGCCUGAUCCAGCAAUGCCGCGUGCGGGAAGAAGGCCUUCGGGUUGUAAACCGCUUUUGGCAGGAACGAAACGGUGUCCGCUAAUACCGGGCGCUAAUGACGGUACCUGCAGAAUAAGCACCGGCUAACUACGUG
rnacentral:rRNA from 1 species